rnacentral:misc_RNA from 1 species
ACAAAUCGUAGUUGUAGAGGGUGUGGCAACACGCUUCUCUACACAUACACCCGCUCCAGUGCAGCAAUGCCUGGUCGGUGCUCUGAUCAGCCCCUUAAACCGGGAUGUAUUGGAGCGACCGCAAACGCAAGUGCGCGGUCACAUAGACGCUUUUUUGUUUGACAGAGUUUAUUGUAUGCAAAUAUAUAUA